AUUUAAUGCUGACAAUAAAAUUAUUUAGGGUAGGAAUUAUAGAUACAAGGAUUAAAGCAUUAAUUAAAAAUCUAGGAAUUAGAGGUGUGUUUUACUUUGAACCAAAUUAGUAUAGAGUGCUGUGUAUGGAAACAGAAACUAUUGUAUUGAUCAAUCAAAUCAGAGUUUGGCCAUCUUAUCCACUGAUUUGUCUCCUAUACCAGGCAAAGUGGAGAAACUUGAUUCAUCUUGGUAACUUUAUAGGAUUUCUAGGUCUUAUAGCUCUCACACGCUCUUUUCCAUUGCCCUUUUACUUUUCCAUUUAACCAAUAAUCUUUCUCUCUCUCUCUCUCUCUCUUUUUGUCUCACUCCACCCCUCUCUCUCUCUCUCCCCCAUAGAAUCUUGGGGUCUUUUGCCAUCGCCCUCCCCACUGUGCAGAAUUACAUAAUGCUGCAAAUGAGGAUCAUCCCUUGGCUAAUGACUUGUCACUCUAGCCAACUACGUGACCCUUGUCUUCUCUUUCAAUUGCCUUUCUGUAGGGUCAUUAUCCUAUAGAAAGUUGAGUCUUGAGAUAAUGGUCUGGUUUUCCAUCAGCUAUGCUAAAGUCUUCCACAUGACAUUAUUUUCUCAUGGUGGGGCCCUUUUCCAGUUUUGUUCUUUUUUUUAAUGGGUAACCACAAGCUGGGGAUAGGAUUUUUUUUGGGUGGACCUCCAAAUGCCACGUGUCUAGAUCAUAGGGUGGGGGUGAUACAGAGGACUGAUCCUCCCAAUAAAGGCUUUUGUUGAUGAUGUUCAGAUUGGGGGGAGGGUAUGGAAGGUCCAUAUUCCAAAUUCUCCUUUUUCAAAUCUCAUUUGGCUACCAUUAAUGCCGUUGCCAUUCUCUUGCAAGAUCGUUUUCCCAUUUGUACAAACGCCAUUUGGUCUUCUUCUACCUUUUCUGGAGAUUCUCUCUGCAACAACCGGUAAACAGAUGUAGAGGGUGGAGAUUUUUAAGAUCAGACCUCAGGGGAAGAGUAGAUAUCAACCUUCCAGCUUCAAUAAUAUUUACUUUUUCAACCAGGAUUUGGAUAGUAUUCCUCUCAUCCUUAAAUUUUGAAGUUAAAAAUGUUAAAUUAAAGCCCUAGAUCUCAUUGAUUUUGCCUUCUAAGUUCUACCUCAUAAUACGAUGCAAAAGAAUUGGAAAAGUAUAAAGAGUAAAUGCAUUGGCCUUGGGUUGAAGCAUGCUAAAUUGGUGUAUAGCUUUUUUCCCAAGCUUAGGUGAUAGGAAAAUGACUUUUUAUGUUAUUGGGUAAAACUUACCUUUACUAUUCGAAGCCGAAAGUGUGUUGGCUAAAACAUAGAAAAAGUUCCACGUUUUAGAUUUCCAAUGCCACACACAUCAAUAGGAUCUCUGCCGGAUUUUCUUCAAUAUCUUUUCUUUCUUAGCCUUGCAGUAGCGAUUAUUUCUUUAUUUUUAUAUGGGAUGUGAAUUUCUUUAGGGUGUAAAUCAAAAUGGAAAUACAAGCUCGAUGAUAAUAGUGAUAAAAUUCCAUGUGUCUGUUUUUUACUUAUAUGGAGAUGACCCUUUUUUUC